rnacentral:lncRNA from 1 species
CAGGGAGCUGAAGGGAGGCAGGAUCAAGCUCUGAACAUCACCACGUCCCCUCCCCCUGCCUGUCACAGGCCAGGAUGCAGAGCAAGUCUACUGCAGGGUGACUCAGGAUGCUACCUCAGCGCCUCUUGGUUCACAGAUAACCCUGAUGCCAGGGAAGGUGAAAGGCUCCAGCUAACCUUCUAGUCUACAGAAGCAAGAUUUGGGCGCCAUCCCAACUGAACUGUGACCAUCUGUCAGACUUCGUUUCCCCAAGGGUGUCCCAAGGUUCUGGGUGAACACUGAACACCAGGACACAGAUCUUGCCCUAGCUUCAACACACUCCAGAGUCCCUGCCUUGUUGGCUGUGGCUGCACUAUCCCACUUGGUUUCUCCUCUCCCUGGCCACUUAGGAGAGGCAGAAAUCUUUCUGAGAGCUGGAUGGUGGAGCACGCCUUUAAUCCCAGCACUUGGAAGGCAGAGGCAGGCAGAUCUCUGUGAGUUUGAGGCCGGCCUGGUCUACAGAGCGAGUUCCAGGACAGGCUCCAAAAACUACACAGAGGAAUGGGAGUCCCAGGAGGCAGAACAUCUCAGUUGUAGUAGGUGACAGAUACCUGGUGAAGGUAUCAACUCAGAAGCCCAGCAGUCUUCACUAUGAGCCCUGGCUCUCCCACUGGUCAGCUGUGUGACCUUGGUUUCCUGUUGUGUAGUGGUAACGAUGACCGUGACCAUAGCAGGGCUUGUGGGCCGUUGCUAUUGCUGUGAAACCAUUAGCUGAUAGGUAAAGG